ACCAACAGUACUUCAUAGAAUCUCUAUUUAGUCGUCGUUCCUCUCUUGGUUUUCCACGAAAGCCACAGAUCCCAACCCUGAUGCUGAUCUUUAUCCCCGACAACCUAGAGUGAAGACGUUUACUCUUGCCCUGCCUGCAAAGGUGGCGGUCUUGGCUCUGCCUUGGCUGUAUAAAGAGUGUUGAUGAUCUCAAUCCUGCAUUCGAGUUAGCUUUUUGCGCUUGACGCGGGAUGGUUGUUGGUGGAAGUCUGAAGGGC
rnacentral:snoRNA from 1 species